rfam:Cicer arietinum chromosome Ca2, whole genome shotgun sequence.
CAAUUAUGAGGGCACAAUCUCAGCAUCAGCUUCAAGCGCUCCCAAACUUCACAGAGCAAUUCUCCUUCAUUUUGAGAAAAACUUAUGAUUUGAUUUCUCAAUUG